GGAAUAUUGGACAAUGGUCGGAAGACUGAUCCAGCCAUGCCGCGUGGAGGUUAAGGUCCUAUGGAUUGUAAACUCCUUUUGAGAGGGAGCAAUAAGUGUCACGUGUGACACGAUGAGAGUACCUUUCGAAUAAGCAUCGGCUAACUCCGUGCCAGCAGCCGCGGUAAUACGGAGGAUGCGAGCGUUAUCCGGAUUUAUUGGGUUUAAAGGGUGCGUAGGCGGUUUUGCAAGUCAGCGGUGAAACGAACGGGCUUAACCUGUGACUUGCCGUUGAAACUGCGGGACUGGAAUGCGGAUGCUGUGGGAGGAAUGUGUGGUGUAGCGGUGAAAUGCAUAGAUAUCACACAGAACACCGAUUGCGAAGGCAUCUCACAAAUCCGUGAUUGACGCUGAGGCACGAAAGUGUGGGGAUCAAACA
rnacentral:rRNA from 1 species